CGUCCGAGUUGUAGCCCGGAGAAGCGUCCUCUGCGCCGGACCCGUGUACAAGUCUCCUGGAACGGAGCGUCGUAGAGGGUGAUAAUCCCGUCGUCGACACGGACCUCCGGUUAGCUAUGCGAGGCGCUCUCGAAGAGUCGAGUUGUUUGGGAAUGCAGCUCAAAGUGGGUGGUGAAUUCCAUCUAAAGCUAAAUACAGGCGAGAGACCGAUAGCGGACAAGUACCGUGAGGGAAAGAUGAAAAGCACUCUGGAAAGAGAGUUAAACAGCACGUGAAAUCGCUGAGAGGGAAACGCUUGAAGUCAGUCGCGUCGGCGUUAGGAGGUCAGCCUUCCCGGGAUAAUAACCGUGGGGCGCACUCUCCCGUCGACGGGCCAGCAUCGAUAUCGACCGCCGGAGAAGGGCUCGGGGAACGUGGCACCUCCCGGUGUGUUAUAGCCCCCUGUCGUAUGCGGCGGUCGGGAUCGAGGUUUUUACAUGUUCGCAGCACGCCUUUUUGGCCGGGGCCGUUCGCGGUCCACGUCCGUGCUUAGGAUGCUGGCGUAAUGGCUUUAAACGACCCGUCUUGAAACACGGACCAAGGAGUCCAACUCGCCUGCGAGUGUUUGGGUGGAAAACCCGAGCGCGUAACGAAAGUGAAAGGUCGAGAACCCCUUUGACCGGGGGGGCACCGACGCCCGGGCCCUUUCAACCCCCUCGAAAGGGGGGGGCCUGGAACGGUAGAGCAUGCGUGUUGGGACCCGAAAGAUGGUGAACUAUGCCUGAAUAGGGUGAAGCCAGGGGAAACCCUGGUGGAGGCUCGUAGCGAUUCUGACGUGCAAAUCGAUCGUCGAAUUUGGGCAUAGGGGCGAAAGACUAAUCGAACCAUCUAGUAGCUGGUUCCCGCCGAAGUUUCCCUCAGGAUAGCAGAAGCUCGCGCAUCAGAUUUACGUGGUAAAGCGAAUGAUUAGAGGUCCUGGGGUCCUUUGCGUCCUCAACCUAUUCUCAAACUUUGAACAUGUAAGAACCGGCCGUCGCUCGAAUGGACGGCCCGGGACGAUUGAGAGCUUCUAGUGGGCCAUUUUUGGUAAGCAGAACUGGCGAUGCGGGAUGAACCGAACGUGAGGUUAAGGUGCCGGAAUGCACGCUCAUCAGACACCACAAAAGGUGUCGGUUCAUCUAGACAGCAGGACGGUGGCCAUGGAAGUCGGAACCCGCUAAGGAGUGUGUAACAACUCACCUGCCGAAUGAACCGGCCCUGAAAAUGGAUGGCGCUCAAGCGUGCUACCCAUACCUCACCGUGGGCGUUAUAGUGACGCGCCG
rnacentral:rRNA from 1 species